AUGGUGAUCUUUGCCCCACCACACCUCAGCUCUGACAGACUAUGUGCCAGGAAAAUCUUGUCGUCUGCACUGAGCCGCCAGCUGGGUUCCAAUCCUCUGGAGCGGCUGCCUCAGACUAGGAAGCACCACUCUGAGAGUCAAGGGAACCAUGGACCCUACCGCGGAUCUGCCGAGGCAGGAGAGACCCGGCCUUCGUCUGGAAAAGCUACAGCACUGGGCGAGACGGAGGCAAAGUGGACACCUACUGGUGGUGGCGGUGAGCCAGUUAUGGCUGGCAGUAGCCAUGGUGCCCUUCACAGUCUCGGUGGCAUGCCUGAACUCUGCCUGUCACAUGGCCACAGCACUACCACUCUGGCCUGGAGCCUCGGGUCUCCUCACUGGGAUUAUCACCCUGGAGCUUCGAAGAGAGCCUUGCAUCUGGAAGGUGCGGGCCAUGAUGAUAUCCAACCUCUUCAACCUGAUCUUGGGCUUCAUCGUGGUGGUGAUGGAGCUGAUGAAGACAGCCUUGGGGCCUGCCUCUACUGCCCCCUCCCAGUUGACAGGGUUGCUGGUGCUGGAGCUCAGCGCGGAGGCCUUCACCCUAGGAGGAGUGCUGGUCUCAACGUACGCCCUAUUCCUGCUGAGCCAGAGGAAGCCAGGAUGCUUCACGAGGUCAAGUCUGCACUACCAGGAGUUACAGGAGGGUCUCUCUGAGUUGGAGGAGGUUUCUGGUUUGGAGAAUGGUCCCGUGGUGGCUAGCACAGGAAACAGAACAGAUGAAGGAAGAUAAAGUCUGGACUAGUGACCUCCCUCACCUCGCUCCUGGUCAAGCUGCUUCCUCCCUUGCAUUCUUCGCCUUCUCCCUCCCUGCCUCUCCAUCGAGCUUCACAUCUGCCUCAUCUCCCUGUUUGCGUCUGUUCACCUUGCACAAUCCCAUCCACUCCGAGCCCGGCGGGCUGCUGCAACCCGCCAGCCAGCCAACCCAGCCAGAAAUCCGCGUCCGUCCGUUGUGCGCCAGGUCUCCCUUGGAUCCGGGUCCUGCCUAGUUUCCUGGAGACUACAAAUCCCAGGAUGCCCCGCUACCCCGUGACCUACUGGAAAAUAAAGAGCCUUCCCUCG